rnacentral:rRNA from 1 species
GUGAACCUUUACUAUAGCUUGACACUGAACAUUGAGCCUUGAUGUGUAGGAUAGGUGGGAGGCUUUGAAGUGUGGACGCCAGUCUGCAUGGAGCCGACCUUGAAAUACCACCCUUUAAUGUUUGAUGUUCUAACGUGGACCCGUUACCCGGGUUGCGGACAGUGUCUGGUGGGUAGUUUGACUGGGGCGGUCUCCUCCUAAAGAGUAACGGAGGAGCACGAAGGUUGGCUAAUCCUGGUCGGACAUCAGGAGGUUAGUGCAAUGGCAUAAGCCAGCUUGACUGCGAGCGUGACGGCGCGAGCAGGUGCGAAAGCAGGUCAUAGUGAUCCGGUGGUUCUGAAUGGAAGGGCCAUCGCUCAACGGAUAAAAGGUACUCCGGGGAUAACAGGCUGAUACCGCCCAAGAGUUCAUAUCGACGGCGGUGUUUGGCACCUCGAUGUCGGCUCAUCACAUCCUGGGGCUGAAGUAGGUCCCAAGGGUAUGGCUGUUCGCCAUUUAAAGUGGUACGCGAGCUGGGUUUAGAACGUCGUGAGACAGUUCGGUCCCUAUCUGCCGUGGGCGCUGGAGAACUGAGGGGGGCUGCUCCUAGUACGAGAGGACCGGAGUGGACGCAUCACUGGUGUUCGGGUUGUCAUGCCAAUGGCACUGCCCGGUAGCUAAAUGCGGAAGAGAUAAGUGCUGAAAGCAUCUAAGCACGAAACUUGCCCCGAGAUGAGUUCUCCCUGAGACUUAGAGUCUCCU